CGGGACACGUGGUAUCCUGUCUGAAUAUGGGGGGACCAUCCUCCAAGGCUAAAUACUCCUGACUGACCGAUAGUGAACCAGUACCGUGAGGGAAAGGCGAAAAGAACCCCGGCGAGGGGAGUGAAAAAGAACCUGAAACCGUGUACGUACAAGCAGUGGGAGCACAGAGCAAUCUGUGUGACUGCGUACCUUUUGUAUAAUGGGUCAGCGACUUAUAUUCUGUAGCAAGGUUAACCGAAUAGGGGAGCCGAAGGGAAACCGAGUCUUAACUGGGCGUUAAGUUGCAGGGUAUAGACCCGAAACCCGGUGAUCUAGCCAUGGGCAGGUUGAAGGUUGGGUAACACUAACUGGAGGACCGAACCGACUAAUGUUGAAAAAUUAGCGGAUGACUUGUGGCUGGGGGUGAAAGGCCAAUCAAACCGGGAGAUAGCUGGUUCUCCCCGAAAGCUAUUUAGGUAGCGCCUCGUGAAUUCAUCUCCGGGGGUAGAGCACUGUUUCGGCAAGGGGGUCAUCCCGACUUACCAACCCGAUGCAAACUGCGAAUACCGGAGAAUGUUAUCACGGGAGACACACGGCGGGUGCUAACGUCCGUCGUGAAGAGGGAAACAACCCAGACCGCCAGCUAAGGUCCCAAAGUCAUGGUUAAGUGGGAAACGAUGUGGGAAGGCCCAGACAGCCAGGAUGUUGGCUUAGAAGCAGCCAUCAUUUAAAGAAAGCGUAAUAGCUCACUGGUCGAGUCGGCCUGCGCGGAAGAUGUAACGGGGCUAAACCAUGCACCGAAGCUGCGGCAGCGACACUGUGUGUUGUUGGGUAGGGGAGCGU
rnacentral:rRNA from 1 species